CACGUAGGGCGCAAGCGUUGCUCGGAAUUAUUGGGCGUAAAGAGCUCGUAGGCGGUCUGUUGCGUCCGCUGUGAAAACUCGGGGCUUAACCCCGAGCCUGCAGUGGAUACGGGCAGACUAGAGGUAGGUAGGGGAGAAUGGAAUUCCCGGUGUAGCGGUGAAAUGCGCAGAUAUCGGGAGGAACACCGGUGGCGAAGGCGGUU
rnacentral:rRNA from 1 species